GCAAAGUUAGAAGACGAACAGGCGAUUUCCAAACGGGUGUUCGAAACUGCAAACGUAGGUGCUAUCACUACCACGGGGGAUGUGUUGAGGUUUGCAGGAAGAAUGAUAUCAUCUCAAGACCUAGUGUUACUGUCUGUGAAGAUAGAACCGGGGUCUACGCUAGUCAUAGCGAACUGUCAGAAUAUGGCGGUCGCUUCAUUACUAGCUAAUGAAGUCGCUCAAGCAUUCUCCAAAUCAUGAGGUCCAGAUAGACAAGGCAAGAAUAUGCGCCAUCUAGCAGCCAGUAAUGAAGUUAUAUAUCAAUUAAAAUGAUCUCCGCUACUUGGAUUCAAUGCGAGCGAAGCCGCAGAUGAAAGCUAGUGUUUAUAUAUAAAAUCCUGUAAAUUAAAAAUAUCAGACAAUUUACACAGCGCCAUCUGUAUAAUCAGAUACAUAUAUAUUUUGUCAUCAAUCAUACACAUGAAACCCGUCAACAUUGCAAGUAGAGCUGCUCUAAAGCGACGAAAUGUCAUAAAUUAUAUCUAAAAUACACUGAUUUGGUUUAUUGUCGUCGCUAUGCAUUGUUUAUAUAUUAUACUUUGCAUUAGAAUAUCUUAAUUGAACAAAAUUGAUAUAAUUUUAACCUUAGAUUAAGACAUGUUUAAAGAAUUUUCAAGUCCGUUAAAAUACUCUUGAGAUUCUCUA